GACGAACGCUGGCGGCGUGCUUAACACAUGCAAGUCGAACGGGCCUGUCUUCUUUUUUGGGGGUGGGUUGAGUGGCGAACGGGUGAGUAUCACGUGAGUAACCUGCCCUUCGGUCCUGGAUAACCGCUUGAAAGGGCGGCUAAUACGGGUUGGUCCGGUUGGUCCGCAUGGGCUGGUCGGGAUAGAUUCACUGUUUUUGUUGUUUCGGCGGGUGAUGGGCUCGCGGCCUAUGAGCUUGUUGGUGGGGUGUUGGCCUACCAAGGCGGUGACGGGUAGCCGGACUGGGAGGGUGGGCGGCGACACUGGGACUGGGAUACGGCCCAGACUCAUGCGGGAGGCAGCAGUGGGGGGGAUUGCAGAAUGGGCGGAAGCCUGAUGGAGCGACGUCGCGUGAGGGAUGGAGGCCUUCGGGUUGUGAACCUCUGUUUCCGGUGGUGAAGGCCCUGUCCGUGUGGUGGGGUUGACGGUAGCCGGGGAUGAAGCGCCGGCUAACUACGUG
rnacentral:rRNA from 1 species